CCUACGGGAGGCUGCAGUAGGGAAUAUUGGGCAAUGGACGCAAGUCUGACCCAGCCACGCCGCGUGAAGGAUGACUGCCCUAUGGGUUGUAAACUUCUUUUGUAUGGGAAGAAACCUCCGCACGUGUUCGGAGCUGACGGUACCAUAAGAAUAAGCAUCGGCUAACUCCGUGCCAGCAGCCGCGGUAAUACGGAGGAUGCAGGCGUUGUCCGGAUUCAAGGGGUUUUAGGGGGAGAAAGACGGCAGUGGAGAAAGCUCGCAGCUUAACUGUGAAAAUGCCAUUGAAACUGAUUUUCUUGAGUUCGAUUGAGGUAGAUGGAAUGUAUCAUGUAGCGGUGAAAUGCUUAGAUAUGAUACAGAACACCAAUUGCGAAGGCAGUCUACUAAGUCGAUACUGACGCUGAGGCACGAAAGCAUGGGGAGCAAACAGGAUUAGAUACCCCUGUAGUC
rnacentral:rRNA from 1 species